CCUACGGGUGGCAGCAGUGAGGAAUAUUGGUCAAUGGACGAGAGUCUGAACCAGCCAAGUCGCGUGAAGGAUGACUGCCCUAUGGGUUGUAAACCUCUUUUAUAAGGGAGUAAAAUGCGGCACGCGUGCCUCUUCGCAUGUACUUUAUGAAUAAGGAUCGGCUAACUCCGUGCCAGCAGCCGCGGUAAUACGGAGGAUCCGAGCGUUAUCCGGAUUUAUUGGGUUUAAAGGGUGCGUAGAUGGGUUGUUAAGUCAGUUGUGAAAGUUUGCGGCUCAACCGUAGAAUUGCAAUUGAUACUGGCAGUCUUGAGUACAGUUGAGGUAGGCGGAAUGCGUGGUGUAGCGGUGAAAUGCUUAGAUAUCACGAAGAACCCCGAUUGCGAAGGCAGCUUACUAAGCUGUGACUGACAUUGAUGCACGAAAGUGUGGGGAUCAAACAGGAUUAGAUACCCCGGUAGUC
rnacentral:rRNA from 1 species